UACGUAGGGUGCGAGCGUUGCCCGGAUUUAUUGGGCGUAAAGGGCGCGUAGGCGGCCUUGUAAGUCAAAGGUGAAAUCCCUCGGCUCAACUGAGGAACUGCCUUUGAAACUGCGAGGCUUGAGGCCGGGAGGGGGUAGCGGAAUUCCCAAUGUAGCGGUGAAAUGCGUAGAUAUUGGGAGGAACACCAGUGGCGAAGGCGGCUACCUGGACCGGUUCUGACGCUGAGGCGCGAAAGCGUGGGUAGCAAACAGG
rnacentral:rRNA from 1 species